GGGCGAUAUAAGAGGCGGCCACGACGACGAUCAUGGCAGCAACGGCGGCAGAGACUGCCGAUCUUUUGCUUUUUUUUUUAAGCCCCUGCCAUUCAUUUUAAGAUUUUUGACGUGUAUUUUACAGUAAACUGUCUUCACUUCGUUAUCGAUGCAUAUGCCGGUUUAAUGUUUGGAUUCGAUAUGGACGGAGUUUGCUUGCUCGUAUUGAUCUAUGUUCAUCAAUGGAGAUCCUACCUUGAAGAUAAGCUAUUUUUCCUCCUUUUCUUGAUUUGCCUUUUUUUUUUUUAGAAUUAUGAUAGGCUUAGAGAUGCAAGAACAGUUAUAUUUUGAUCUUCGAUAUGGGCGAAAUUGCUUUCUGCAUUUUUCACUCUUUGAAGCUCAAAUGUGAAUUUUUUUUGUAUGAGGAUGAUCGGUAUGUUCUUAUGAUUAAAGCUAGUUUCUUAAGACAUUCAUAAUACUCAGUUUAUUACAGUAGUGUAGCUGUGCUUAUUCAGCUAUAAAUUCUCUCAAUCGACAAUUACUAGGCUAAUAGACUACAAUGAAAAUAGGAAAAGUAGUAGUCCAUUGAUGAACUACCUAGCUCUCAUAGUUUAGAUUUUAGAAUCUAAUAACUAAUCUAUGAAAUCCUUAGUUUACAACACGACAAUCUUUCCUAAUUUCUUGACCUCCAUUGAGACUGCUCAUUUUGAUCAUAGAGUUUACGAAAGCUUUCUCGAAACUCUGUUUCGAACUGGCAAACUUGUAUACCAAACCUUUGGUUUUCGGAUUCGUGAGCAGGGCUUGGUCAGAAGAAAACAGGGUUUUGCCUUGAAGGAUCAACUUGAAGUAGGUGUUAUCGAAAGCUGUUGAAGAAGGAUCCAUUGUUGCUCCGGCAUUCUUUGCCUUGUUCUUGAUCGGACAAACGUUCCUUAAGCUUGCUGCAAAUGAAGGAUGCAUUGUUGGGUCUAUGUCGUGCGUUGCGUUGAAGUUGCGGAUUCUAUUCUGGAAGGAUGAGCAGUGGGAAAAUCCGAUAGUGUGGCCUCCUGCAACAGCAUCGUGUGUAAGUAACAAGGUAAUCCCUGUUUGCUUUAGUUAAAUAAUGUUGAAUUAAAACAUAUAAAGUUUAUCAUUUCGGUUAACCUGAAAGAGCUACAAGGUCAUCCAUGGAUAGGCCUCUUUGAGAGAAGCUUUGUUGCAGUUGAGAUAUGUUGAAAGUCGGAGCCGGCAAUUGUAUAGUUUCGCUAGCCUUUGAUGUUCUACCGUCUUUUCUUCCCUUAGGCACUUCCCAUGUAGGACCUCCUGACUAUCAUGAAUUUGAUCAAAUAGACACCAUUAGAUCAAUCAUUAUGCAUACAUAUAUUCAAUGCACAUACAGAAUCCACACUAAAGAAAGUUGUAGUCUUACGAGCACGACAGCAUCCCUUGCGGCAAAAGCCAAAAUAUCAGCACACGAGACUACACCCGGACACGCUGCUUCGACUUCUUUCUUUGCAUUUUCUAUAACAUAAAAUCCAUGCAAAGAAAGAUUUGCAGGCCCAUCUUUUUCAGCUUUAUUGUUUCCCUUUGAGUACAACAGCACAGAAGCAUCACAACCCUGAAAAGAAAAAGCCCAAAUCAAUAUCUAAACCCAACUUGAAUCCGACAUCCCUAAAAUCCACACCAAAUUACCCUUAUAAAACAAUCAUGAAAAUGCAUUCGAAGAAGGGCUGCAGGGACCGUCUUAUCCUUCAUGGUGGCACGCUCGACAGCUUUUGCAACUAUCGACUCAACAUCAGGACAGGUUUUCUCAUAAUGAUUCAAGCUAAGAGCAAUGGCUGGUGAAGUCGACGCAGACACAAGCAAAACUAAGGUGGUGGAGAUGACCCUGGAGCUCCAGCAUUACUGCUGUUUCUGGCCGUUGCUUCCGGUUUAACGGCAGUUGCCGGAGGGACCGCCGAUGGUGGUAUCACCGGUAAAGUGUUUGAAGACUCGAUAUUGUAACCUGUGGAAAUUGGAUUGUUAAAAAGAUUUACGAGAUGAACUAGUGGACGAGAUUGAAGAGAAGUUGCUUACAAUCGGAUGCUUUCCAGCCAAGUACCAUCUUUUCUCGAUCGAAUACUAUACGAUAACCGGUCAUGAAGUUUUCUGGAUCGGAUUUAAUAAAAAAAAUAUAAGGAUCUUUACAAACAUCGGAUCGAUUAUCGGUUCAGUGUUUGUAAAUUGGAUCCAGAGAGACUUACGUCCGAUGAUAUUCACACUGUCGCUUUUCACGACUGCCAAGCAAUAUAUAGCUCCACCCUGCAUGGGGAGCACUGCUAUUGGAUCAUUAACCAAAAGCUGAUCUCCGCCUUUCAUUGUCAGAUUCACUACGGGGUACUUCAAGCUCGUUUGAUUGGCGCUGUAAGGUAAAAGAACUCAGUGCUUGAGGCCACUGGGCGAGAAACGAUAAAUAUACGUCUUUUCGAUGGUCCGAAAGGCGAAAUGAAUAGAUUACCUUAGGUCAUAACAAUAUUCAAAGGGAAGGUCAUCGGUAGACUUCGAUGUAUGCCGCUUGUCUAAGGCCAAAUUGUUGAACUGCCAAACAAAAUAACUAUAAAUACGCGUAUGGGAGAAAAUGGAAACCGAGAGGGGGGGCGGGGGGAACAUGAAAUUUGUGACUUAAACUACUUACAGUCUCGGAAAUAAGCGUAUAAGCCGGGUCAUUCAAAUAUGUAAACGAGGUACCAGAGUCGAAAACGGCAUCGAACUCGAGAUCGCCGGUCUUUCCUCCCACGCUUAUUUGAGUGAUACUAAUAUUGUAAGUAGGGCUGAAAAUGAAUAUCGGGAAGGAUCAGUAACACUCGACAAAAUAGGAGCAUUCGCAUAUCGAACAAAUUUGGUAUUAUAGUCAAUACCGUGAUUGCCUGGGAUUAAUCGGUGUUUCUCCUUGGUCUGAGCUGCCCUUAUCACCGAAAGUUAUUCUUCCGAUCCCAUCCGAUCGAAAACACAUAGAGAACGAAUUCGAUGUAACAUUUUCUUUUGCUAAUAUGCUGGGAACUGAUAUAUUGUCCAUACCAAGCCCGAAAAGACCAUUAGGAGCUGCACCGUUUAAGAACGAUCCAGUCUGAAUCUUCCCGCAACUGCAAUUGAGUAACGCACACGAGUUAAUCAUUGCCGAACGUAAUCGCUGACCAAUGCUAUUUUCGACAACAGCAAGGUGAGAUUUCAGGACAAAAGAAGUAAAAGAUACAAACCCGAAAGUAAUCUUGGCUUCGACGGGUUUGUUUGUUUUAUCAUCGUCCGUAGUCAAGCGCAAGACAUCUUCCACCAAAACCCCGAUCGACGAGGUGCCAUUGGAUAGAUAGAUAACUUGAUAAGGACAAGUAUUUGUAGGUGAAGAGCAUUUUCUAUGUUGUUCGCACUUGUCACUGCUACAAGGAACCUUUGAGCUUGUAGAUGAUGUAUUAGGGCUGUAGAUGUUAAAUUCUAUUGUCUGAAACGCAAAUUUUACAGCAAAUAGAAUUUUGUCAAAAGAUUGAAAUUAAAAAUGAAAUCCUCUUCUUUUAAAUUAUU